GUGCCUAUGGUGUAACGGUUAACACAUGAGCUUGUGGAGCUCUUGAUCUGGGUUCGAUUCCCAGUAGGCACCCCA
rnacentral:tRNA from 2 species